AAUAAAUCAAAAGAACUGCCCACGAAACAAACUAAAUAGCCAAAAUCUAAUUUGGAGUAAAGAAACUUAUACACUCAUUAAUUACAUUUUCUCAAGAAAAUUGUAAACUGUCGCUGUCGCAUGAGCUCAAAUUCAUAGAUCUCAAACACAAAAACCUUAUCAAACAAAAACACAAGGCUAAGGUGAAAAUGGGCUUAUCUUCUUGCGGAAUUAGACCCAUUUCAGCUCCGAAAGAGAAGAAGAAACAGAGCUUUGAAACCAUCAACAAUGGCGGCCCUGGGUUGCGAAUUCCCCUUUACAGUGUAUAAGAACUCAAAGAAAAGGAGACCGAGAUCUUCAAUUCUCUGCUCAGUACAACCAUCUCAGGGAAAUAUCAAGGUCAUUAUUAAUGGAGCAGCCAAAGAAAUUGGACGAGCUGCAGUUAUUGCAGUCACAAAGGCAAGAGGAAUGGAGGUUGCUGGUGCUGUUGAUUCACAUUCUGUAGGAGAAGACAUUGGAAAGGUGUGUGACAUGGAAGAACCUCUGGAAUUACCCAUAUUAAAUGAUCUCACCAUGGUUUUAGGUUCAAUAUCUCAGUCAAAGGAAACAGGAGUAGUUGUUGAUUUUACCGAACCUUCUAAAGUAUAUGAGAAUGUGAAGCAGGCAACUGCAUUUGGCAUGAGAAGUGUGGUUUAUGUUCCUAGAUUAAAAGUAGACACAGUGGCUGCAUUAUCUAACUUCUGUGAGAAAGCUAGCAUGGGUUGUCUUGUCGCCCCAACUCUGUCCAUUGGCUCUAUCCUUCUCCAGCAAGCUGCAAUUUCAGCUUCAUUCCAUUACAGCAAUGUAGAGAUAGUGGAAUCCAGAGAGAAGUCACAGGAUCUCCCAUCUUCAGAUGCAGCCCAAAUAGCCAACAACCUCUCAAACUUGGGCCAGAUCUACAACAGAGAAGAUAUUUCAACAGAUGUGCCGGCAAGGGGACAAGUUAUAGGAGAAGAUGGAGUUCGAGUGCACAGUCUAGUCCUUCCAGGGCUUCCUUCCAGCACCAAUGUCUACUUCUCACGCCCGGGAGAGGUGAGUUCUAGGUUGUGUUUCCGUUCUUGUUCAACUAAAAUUAAAAGAAGUUGCAUGAUUUCGAGCUGUGGGACGACUAAAUUUAAUUUUUCCUACUCAUUCUGUAACAAGAGGAGUAGGAUUUUUUUUUCCUUCUCCGACACUUAUCAUGGCUUGCAUCACAGGUGUACACUCUCAAGCAUGAUAUCAUAAAUGUGCAAUGCCUCAUGCCAGGCUUGCUAUUGGCAAUUAGAAAGGUGGUGCGCCUUAAGAAUCUGGUGUAUGGCUUGGAGAAAUUAUUAUAAAGCUUCGAAGGUUAUCCCCUGGUAGCUCUGUCUGAAACUUCACCACCACUUUUCAUUGGACAGAGUGACCAUCUACACCUGAUAACAAAAAGGAGAUAAACUCAGGAGCUCAAGUCAGAGAGAAACGAAGGAGAAUUUUUUUUGUUUUUCGUUUUCUUUGUGUACGUGGAGAAAUUAUAUUAUUUCGUUCUUAAAGAAGGAUUUUCUCUUCCCAA